AAACGGGACUCAGAUUGCUUUUUUUUUUUUGGAGAACGACGAUAGAGGACAGAUCCUGCAGUGCGACAGAUUGGAUUCGUCUCGUGAUUGAUUAGGCCGACUCAUAAUAAAGACGGUCAUAUUUCUCUUUCUGACGGACAGCACGGUUCAGAUCGGCUGAUGGACAUGAGGUCUCUGUUGAUACUGUCAG